UUUCCAAAUAAGCCAGGCUUUCGUCAGUUCCUCAGAACUAGUUCUGGUUUGACUCACUCUCAUGUUACAGCAAACCUUAAGCUGAAUGAACAACUUUUCUUCUCUUGAUGAAUAUAUCUUAACGCCAAAUUCUGAGUGUUUUUUGUUACCCAUCCUCAUAUGUCCCAGCUAGGAAGAAUCCUGGGUUGGAGCUACCGCAUGUUGAUGGUUUUGUUUUUCCUUUUGGCUGUUCAUUUUGGUGGCUACUAUAAGGAAAUCUAACGCAAACAGCAGCUGUUUUUUGUUGUUUUCUUUUGCAUCUUUACCUGUGGAGCUGUGACAAGUCCUCAUAUCAAAUGCAGAACAUGAUCUUCCUCCUGCUAAUGUUGAGCCUGGAAUUGCAGCUUCACCAAAUAGCAGCUUUAUUCACAGUGACAGUCCCUAAGGAACUGUACAUAAUAGAGCAUGGCAGCAAUGUGACCCUGGAAUGCAACUUUGACACUGGAAGUCAUGUGAACCUUGGAGCAAUAACAGCCAGUUUGCAAAAGGUGGAAAAUGAUACAUCCCCACACCGUGAAAGAGCCACUUUGCUGGAGGAGCAGCUGCCCCUAGGGAAGGCCUUGUUCCACAUACCUCAAGUUCAAGUGAGGGACGAAGGACAGUACCAAUGCAUAAUCAUCUAUGGGGUCGCCUGGGACUACAAGUACCUGACUCUGAAAGUCAAAGCUUCCUACAGGAAAAUAAACACUCACAUCCUAAAGGUUCCAGAAACAGAUGAGGUAGAGCUCACCUGCCAGGCUACAGGUUAUCCUCUGGCAGAAGUAUCCUGGCCAAAUGUCAGCAUUCCUGCCAACACCAGCCACUCCAGGACCCCUGAAGGCCUCUACCAGGUCACCAGUGUUCUGCGCCUAAAGCCACACCCUGGCAGAAACUUCAGCUGUGUGUUCUGGAAUACUCACGUGAGGGAACUUACUUUGGCCAGCAUUGACCUUCAAAGUCAGAUGGAAUCCAGGACCCGUCCAACUUGGCUGCUUCAUAUUUUCAUCCCCUCCUGCAUCAUUGCUUUCAUUUUCAUAGCCACAGUGAUAGCCCUAAGAAAACAACUCUGUCAAAAGCUGUAUUCUUCAAAAGACACAACAAAAAGACCUGUAACCACAACAAAGAGGGAAGUGAACAGUGCUGUGAUAUCCUGACUUCCUUCUAAGAACUUCCACCUGAGAACUGACCACAGCGUCAGCAUUCCACAUGGAUCUGAACCUGUGGUCUUGGGAACCAGGGUGACCUGAUAUGACAUCUAAAGAAGCUUCUGGACUCUGAACAAGAAUUCGGUGGCCUGCAGAGCUUGCCAUUUGCACUUUUCAAAUGCCUUUGGAUGACCCAGCACUUUAAUCUGAAACCUGCAACAAGACUAGCCAACACCUGGCCAUGAAACCUGCCCCUUCACUGAUCUGAACUCACCUCUGGAGCCUAUGGCUCUGAGCAAGCACUACUGCACUUUACAGAAUUACCCCACUGGAUCCUGGACCCACAGAAUUCCUUGAGGCUCCUUCUUGCUGCCAGACUGAAAGCAAAAGGAAUUAUUUCCCUUCAAGUUUUCUAAGUGAUUUCCAAAAGCAGAGGUGUGUGGAAAUUUCCAGUUACAGAAACAGAUGGGUUGCCAAUAGAGUUAUUUUUUAUCUACAGCUUCCUCUGGGUACUAGAAGAGGCUAUUGAGACUAUGAGCUCACAGACAGGGCUUUGCACAAACUCAAAUCAUAAUUGACAUGUUUUAUGGAUUACUGGAAUCUUGAUAGCAUCUGAAGUUGUUCUAAUUAAGAGAGCAUUUAAAUAUACACUAAGUGCACAAAUUGUGGAGUAAAGUCAUCAAGCUCUGUUUUUGAGGUCUCAGUCACAAAGCAUUUGUUUUAACCUGUAAUGGCACCAUGUUUAAUGGUGGUUUUUUUUUAAACUACAUCUUUCCUUUAAAAAUUAUUGGUUUCUUUUUAUUUGUUUUUUACCUUAGAAAUCAAUUAUAUACAGUCAAAAAUAUUUGAUAUGCUCAUACGUUGUAUCUGCAGCAAUUUCAGAUAAGUAGCUAAAAUGGCCAAAGCCCCAAACUAAGGCUCCUUUUCUGGCCCUCAAUAUGACUUUAAACUUGACUUUUCAGUGCCUCAGUUUGCACAUCUGUGAUACAGCAAUGCUAAGUAGUCAAGGCCUUUGAUAACUGGCACUAUGGAAAUCCUGCAAGAUCCCACUACAUAUGUGUGGAGCAGAAGGGUAACUCAGCUACAGUAACAGCUUAAUUUUGUUAAAUUUGUUCUUUAUACUGGAGCCAUGAAGCUCAGAGCAUUAGCUGACCCUUGAACUAUUCAAAUGGGCACAUUAGCUAGUAUAACAGACUUAGAUAGGUGGGCCUAAAGCAAGCUCCUUAACUGAGCAAAAUUUGGGGCUUAUGAGAAUGAAAGCAUGUGAAAUUGACUAACAGACAAAUCAUACAUCUCAGUUUCUCAAUUCUCAUGUAAAUCAGAGAAUGCCUUUAAAGAAUAAAACUCAAUUGUUAUUCUUCAA